CUGAGACCAAGAGAGGAAAUGAUGGAAUUGGUUGACCCUGUUUCCGCUCCUCUACAUUAAUUAUUAGGGUUCUCAUACCUUCCCUAAGGGAGCAAUCUAAACUGCUCGGGGGUGAAAAAUCCUCUUGUAUGAAGUGCCAAGCUGCCUGCAGCAGUGCAUGAUGGACAUUUUUUUUUUUCUUUUUAAAACACACCAACAAAAAAAAUGUAUUUGUAGAUUGUGAUAAAGUGUAAAUAACUGAAUUUUCAACCAUGGUUUGAAGUCAGCUUUCAGGGCAUUAUGUCUUGUUUUGAUGAAAAGAGAUCACUCUAUACCCCCCUUUUUAAAGGAAAAUUAUCGCAAGAGAAUCAGGAUGUGUAAAGCUAACAUGCAUCGCAAAAAACCAAAGGUAACCUAAAUGUCUGAUUUUAAUAGCACAUAUUUCUCUUUUACAUAAACUGUGACAGCAACUUGCAUAAACAAUUCUUUAGCUGUUAAUUUUAAUGUUAAAACUUUGCAAAACUUGUUUAAUAAAAAUAGCUGUAAAAAGAAAAACCAUAUGCUGCCGCAUAAAUUAGCCAUAACUCUUAAUAAUCCUGCCCAUCACAAGUGAACUGUAAUGUAACCUGGGCACAAAGUCUGACAUCUUAAAUGACACAUUGUAAAAUUUCAAUGACUGUAGUUUAGAUCUGCUGCUCCCCAAAGUAAAGCUUUCUGCUCAGCUAUUUUAAAAUGUACAAGGAUUAUCCCCUAUUAGGUCCCCGUAUUGAUAUUCACAAUGAAAUGUUACUUAAAAUUUCUUUAAAGUUGCAUGUUUCUUUCCUGUAAUGUGUAAACUGCAUGCAGGAUCUCUGUCUUUUAUUUUGUAUGUCUUUAAAACUUCCUCUUCAAAAUACUGAUCUCUUACUUCUCCAUUUUCAGGUGGUUGAAAAGUUCUGAGGCAUUUCCUGGAAUAGAAUGGGUAGUGAAGACCCUUGUCAGCAAUCAGAGGACUCCGGAAACCAGGAGAGCUGUCUACUGUGUCAAGGCUGGCCUGAGGGCAUUUGCUGAGCACAGAGAAACCCAGGAGAGGAGAUGAACAGUCUUUUCCCACCUACCUCUUGAUCUGUCUGAUUUACCCACAGAAAGCCAGCUAGAGUCCCCUAAGAGUCUCUAGGCCCAGAAUGGAGUCCUUAGGGCAACAGGGGAUUGUGAUGCUAACAAUUAAACCUGCUCAGGACCUGAAAGAUUGAAGGGGACUGACAGUAUCCUCAACAUGGCCUCCUAGAUGUGAAUAAACUGCCAACUCCAAUUGUGUCAUUCCCAGUUUGCCUGCUUCCCUUUAGUCUCCAGCAGAACUGGCUGGAGCCCACUACCACCGCCUCCUGUUUCCCAUCCUGCCACAUGUGUUUUGUGGGUGCCAGCCUUGGACACUUGCAGAGGUCUCCCAGAGAGUAGCUGGUCACCGCCUCUGUAACAGGCUGAGAAAAGCCAUGUAAGAAGGUUCAUGUACUUUAAAAGGCAGGUUCUUUAGCCUCAGAGCCUGUUGUUUUUGUUGGUUAGUUAAGUCCAAAAAUCUCUUUAAGGAUAGGGUAGGGCUUUUCCCACUUAACAUCUGGACUAUAUCCCUUCCCCAGCAAACACUUGGCACUGAGGAGUUCAAUAAAGGUUCAGUCAAGUGAUGAUGAAUCCCACUCUGGUAGCUUUCAUCAGCUUUGAGAGAGAGCCAAAGGAGGUGUCCUGUCUUAACUCCCACUCUCCUUCCAGCUAUAUUGGGCCAGCUAUUUAUCCUAAUGUUUUAUCUUAAAGGAUGGGAAAGGCAGCCUUUGCUACACUUCUGGUUUCCUGUGCCAGUGCCAUAGGCCCAUAGACUGAUUUUACAGAAGGCAUCUUGAGAGGUUAAAGUGGAAACAUCCCACGGUCCACCAACAGAAGAAGGUGGUGGUGCUCAAUCGUGUCUGACUCUUUGCACCCCUAUGGACUGUAGCCCACCAGGCUCCUCUGUCCAUGGGAUUCUCCAGGCAAGAAUACUGGAGUAGGUUGCUAUUUCCUACUCCAGGGUAUCUUCCCAACCCAGGGAUCAAACCCCCGUCUCUUGACUUCUGCAUUGACAGGUGGGUUCUUUACCACUAGUGCCUCCUGGGAACCCCAUUUAAACAAUACUAUUUCACUUAAUCCUCCAAUCCACUAUACUCAUGAGGAAAGAGGCUCAAAGAGGAUAAAUAACUUGCCUAAGGUUAAAAAGAAAACAUGCUAUCAGUCCCUGCUUUUGACCUUUUGUAACUCUUAGAGCUUUGAAACAGUAAAACAUUGUGUUUGAGAGGUUUAUUUAGGGUGACAAACCAUCCUUGUUAACCCAAGACAAGAUUCCUGGGAUGUUGAACUUUCAGUCCUAAAACCAGGAAAGUCCCAGGCAAACAGAUGAGUUUGUCAGUCUAUGUUUGCACCAAGACCUUCAAUCCAGGGUUGGCUGCUCAGGCUUCCUUUUCCCUGAUUUCCUGGUCUCCUAGGCCUCAUCGGUGGCCAGUUUCUUCGUCUAGCAUUUGAGGACCUGCUUCAGUCCAGCAGGCAGAGGAGGAAUUUGGGGUGGAAGGGUUCAGGAAUCAGAUGGUAUCUUCAUCAAGGAAAAUGGAGGUGCAGAGCCUGGGUCACUACUUGAGAAACCAGUGCUAGAUUCUAGGCGGUCCUGCCUACCUUCCAUCCCCAGAUACAGGAUAUGUAGUUAGAAACCAUGGAUUUACAGGGCCAAAACCAGACAGAUCUAGAUUAAAACCCUAGCUCCUCACUUAACUCUCCUUUUCUGGGUCUGUUCGCUCCAUAAAAGUAGGAUAAUAAUCCCAAUCCAUUGGAUGGGACCUGAAAAGCAACUGAAAUGUGUGUGAAAUACAUCCCACAGGGUCUAUCAUAAUCCUGUUCCACACUCAAGUGUCCUUCCUCCCUUUGCUGGCUCGUGUUUCUCACCCAUUCCUGUCACCUGUCAUGGCUGUCACAUACUCCCUUUUCCCACUACCACUUGCAGCCCUAGGGAUUUUCCUCAGGGAGCCCUGACCUAGUGGGCUUGGCCCACCCACCCAGCUGCCUUGCAUGUCAGUCACCGCCCCUUUGAGCAGAGAAGGAAUGACAUCAGCUUUUCCCCCUCUCUCCCCAUUGAAGCCUCUGGACUGUUUUGAGCCAUAAAUAUUUCAGCUGGGCCUUUCUCUGGCUGUUGCCAGGGUGAUGGACUCUCAGGGGACUGGGGUGGGAGUGUGGAGGCGGGGCUCCACAGCCUGGCCUAGCC
ensembl:lncRNA